rnacentral:tRNA from 1 species
AGGCUUGUAGCUCAGCUGGCAGAGCACACCCCUGAUAAGGGUGAGGUCGGUGGUUCAAGUCCACUCAAGCCUACCA